GACGAACCGUGCAAACGUUAUUCGGAAUCACUGGGCCUAAAGGGCGCGUAGGCGGCUUUCUAAGUCAGGGGUGAAAUCCGGCAGCUCAACUGUCGCAGUGCCUUUGAUACUGGAGAGCUCGAGGGAGGUAGGGGUCUGUGGAACUUCCGGUGGAGCGGUGAAAUGCGUUGAUAUCGGAAGGAAUGCCGGUGGCGAAAGCGACGGACUGGAUCUCUUCUGACGCUGAGGCGCGAAAGCCAGGGGAGCAAACGGG
rnacentral:rRNA from 1 species